rnacentral:rRNA from 1 species
GAUGAACGCUGGCGGCGUGCCUAAUACAUGCAAGUCGAGCGAACGUCAUAGAAGCUUGCUUCUAUGACGUUAGCGGCGGACGGGUGAGUAACACGUGGGCAACCUGCCUGUAAGACUGGGAUAACUUCGGGAAACCGAAGCUAAUACCGGAUAGGAUCUUCUCCUUCAUGGGAGAUGAUUAAAAGAUGGUUUCGGCUAUCACUUACAGAUGGGCCCGCGGUGCAUCAGCUAGUUGGUGAGGUAACGGCUCACCAAGGCAACGAUGCAUAGCCGACCUGAGAGGGUGAUCGGCCACACUGGGACUGAGACACGGCCCAGACUCCUACGGGAGGCAGCAGUAGGGAAUCUUCCGCAAUGGACGAAAGUCUGACGGAGCAACGCCGCGUGAGUGAUGAAGGCUUUCGGGUCGUAAAACUCUGUUGUUAGGGAAGAAUAAGUACGAGAGUAACUGCUCGUACCUUGACGGUACCUAACCAGAAAGCCACGGCUAACUACGUGCCAGCAGCCGCAGUAAUAC